GGGCACUUAGUUCAGUUGGCUAGAACGCAUCCUUCACACGGAUGAGGUCACUGGUUCGAGUCCAGUAGUGCCCACCA
rnacentral:tRNA from 1 species